CUUUACUAGAACUCCACAGCAGCACAGAAAAACAACCAAUCAGAAAAAAAGUUAGGUACUAUAAAACCCCCUUCCCAUUGCAUCACUUCCUCUUUCAAGCUGCGACAAAACAGAACAAAGGCAGAAAAAAUAAUGGGAAGCAGCGAAGUCCAGAUACGAUGAAUACAGCAAUGUCCAAUGUCUGAGAAGAACUGUCAACUGGAUAGCGUUGAUGGAC